rnacentral:miRNA from 1 species
CUCGGAGAGUGCAGCUGUGG